rnacentral:piRNA from 1 species
UGCUAAGUGUGCCACAUACCUAAUGUUUCCA